AUGGGAUCCGCGGCGGCGGACGGCGAGAAGCCCUCGGGCCACGUCGCCCAGCCCCUCCUCGGCCAGCCCCAGCCCCCGCACCCGUACUACGCCUAUCCCGCCGCCGCCUACGGCUACGCCCCCGGCCCCCCUCCGCCUCCGCCUCCCCCGUCGCUCGUCCUCCUCAGCCCACCCCCCAUCUUCGUCCGCCUCCGCCGCCUCCGCCCGCGGCGCAUCCCCUGCAUCCGGCGCUUCUCCGCCCGCACGCUCCCGCUCCUCCUCGCCCUCGCGCUGCUCGCCGGCCUCGCUUUCCUCCUCUACCCGUCCGCCCCCGCCGCCCGGGUCGCCGACAUCCGCCUCGACCGCUUCCGCGUCAACCCGCCGCCCCUCCCCGCGCUGGACUUCAACCUCGCGCUCGGCCUCCGCGUCCGCAACCCCGGCUUCCUCCUCCCUCUCCGCUACCGCGCCGUCUCUGCCGCCGUCUCGUACCGCGGCCGUCUGCUCGGCUCCGGCACUGCGCGCCCCGGAUCCGGUGAGCUCGCGGCUAGAGGGGUUACCUAUGCCUCUUCUGAGGUGUGGGUGGACGCCGGCAGGGUGCUGGACGACGUGAUUGAGCUUAUCGGGGACAUCGCCGCCGGGUCUGUGCCGCUGGAGAUAGUGACCGAGGUGGUCGGCGCCGUCAGGCUGUUCCAUUUCAACAUUCCCGUCAAGGGCCUGAUGUCCUGCUCGGUGAAUGUCAGCCCAGGCACCCAGAGUAUCAUAAGUCAGGAUUGUUACUAA
rnacentral:rRNA from 1 species